rnacentral:rRNA from 1 species
UGGGGAAUCUUGUACAAUGGGGGCAACCCUGAUGCAGCGACGCCGCGUGAGCGAUGAAGCCCUUCGGGGCGUAAAGCUCUUUCGACCGGAACGAUAAUGACGGUACCGGGAGAAGAAGCUGCGGCUAACUACGUGCCAGCAGCCGCGGUAAUACGUAGGCAGCAAGCGUUGUUCGGAGUUACUGGGCGUAAAGAGUGCGUAGGCGGUUUUCUAAGUUCGGUGUGAAAUCUCCCGGCUUAACUGGGAGGGUGCGCCGAAGACUGGGAAGCUGGAGUGUGGGAAAGGCAGGCGGAAUUCCUGGUGUAGCGGCGAAAUGCGUAGAUAUCAGGAGGAACACCCGCGUUGUAGACGGCUUGCUAGACCAUAACUGACGCUGAGGCACGAAAGCGUGGGUA